UACGUAGGGUGCGAGCGUUAAUCGGAAUUACUGGGCGUAAAGCGUGCGUAGGCGGUUUGUCGCGUCUGCUGUGAAAAACGCGAGGCUCAACCUCGCGCCUGCAGUGGGUACGGGCAGACUAGAGUGUGGUAGGGGAGAUUGGAAUUCCUGGUGUAGCGGUGGAAUGCGCAGAUAUCAGGAGGAACACCGAUGGCGAAGGCAGAUCUCUGGGCCAUUACUGACGCUGAGGAGCGAAAGCGUGGGGGAGCGAACAGG
rnacentral:rRNA from 1 species